GCCGCAUGAACAGGGAGGGAAAUGGAAGCUGCCAGAAGCAAUAGACUGACAACAGCAGAAAGGGAUGGCUGGGCAUCUGAAGACACAAGUUCCCACCAUCAUCCUUGACACUGAAGGCCCUGGAUAAUACUAUGGUGACUGAUACACUUACCAUGACGGUGAGGCCAGCAGGCCUGGGGACGUCUCUAGCAGCCACAGGGCCCUGCAUGGGACUGCAAUGGUCAGUGAAGGACCAACAGUGAUGGAGACCAAAAAGGACAGAGAAGGAGGCUUCUCCAAUCGUGCUCGCACUGCUGCUGGUUCAACCCACAGGAGGAGGGCGGCUGGCAAGCAGACUGAUCCUGGAGUUCUCAUCAGUGCUGGCAAAUCAAGGAGGGAUGGGGUUACUUGGGUUAAUUUAGAAAGACAAAGGCCUUACCCGCACAGUACAUUAUAACAUUGCAUCUCUAUCCACAUUUCCCUUGCCAUACCUCCCAUGUAUCCUUUGUUUCUAGUUGCACUCCUUAAACCUUUGCUGAGAUUCUGAUUAUUUCAUAAUUUAAGCCACUUAAGUAGGUGCUUCAUGGUCUCCCUGACUCUCUCCUUUUCCCCCAUCUAUUACAUGAUUGCCAGAUGAAUCUCCUUUAAACAUAAUUUUCAGGAUGUCACUCUGAUACCCAAACAUUUUUAGCUGUUCCUUCCUCACAGCAGUUCCAGGCCUUGGACAUUAGGGUCUCAAUGUACCCCUUUGGCUUCAUCUCCUAUUCCCCUGCCCUGGGAUUCCAGCCAAACUGAAAAAGUCACCUGGUGCUUUCUCAUCUCAAUGCCUCUGCCCAUCUCAUUUCUUCUGCUUGGGUUUUUUUCCACACCUUCCUUUUUAAAAAAUCAAAAUCUUAGACAAAGUUUAACACAGGAUGGAUUAACACAUUCACAUGAAACUGUUCCCUUCUUCCAAAGCCUUUCCCAAUUCCUAUGACUACUCCUAUAGCCCCUUUCUCAUCUUUUAUAUUGCUUAGCAUCCUGAUUUAAUUCCUAUUUUAUGUAAAUUUUAUUUUAAAAUGCCGAUGCCCUUGACUGAGUACCCAGGGGCAGGAACCAGGGAACCAGACAAAAUGAUCCAUGUUGCCUAACACAGGUUUUGCACACAAACAGAAAACAGAUUGAUUAAUUCUUCCUUUUACCAGAAGAUCAACCAAAACCAAAUUCUUGGUGGACUUAAAAUACGACUUUCAAAAUCAAAAGUUAUUUUUAAAUUCCGUUCAACUUCUCAAAAAAAAAAAG